UACAGAGGUCUCGAGCGUUGUUCGGAUUCAUUGGGCGUAAAGGGUGCGUAGGUGGCUAGGUAAGUCGGAUGUGAAAUCCCGGGGCUCAACCCCGGAACUGCAUUCGAUACUGCCUGGCUAGAGUACUGGAGAGGAGAUUGGAAUUUACGGUGUAGCAGUGAAAUGCGUAGAUAUCGUAAGGAAGACCAGUGGCGAAGGCGGAUCUCUGGACAGUUACUGACACUGA
rnacentral:rRNA from 1 species